CAUGAGAAAUCUUGUGGGUUCAAUUAUUAACUGAAUAGAUGAUGUCACUUCGUUUGAGUUUGGAGAUAUUGGGAGUGCCAACCAUUGGCGAUUCAUUUUAUAAUCUGUACUAUUAUGUUUACUUAGUUUCUGGAGAGAUUAAGGUAUAUGUUUAGCUUACGUUGUGCCCACAAAGUGGUUGACAGAAUUGCUCUUGUAUAGAAGUGUAGACUAAAAAUACAAUGGAUAGUCCAAAAAGCUAUAUGAUGACAAUCAUGUUCAAAGUUCUAUAGAGUAUUAAACACCUACUACAAAUAUGAUUACUUGGGUCGCAAAGAGUACAUCUCCAUUUGCUUUCUGCUAAAGCUUGAAUGAUCUUUUUUUUCAAUAUUUUGAUGCAACCAUAUCUCAACCACAUGAUGGCACAGUGGCACACUACUGUCUUAUAUAUAAGAUCUCGAGUCUGACGCGGGAGGACGACUUCGAUGAUGGAGCGGAGCGCAGCGGGCAGGGUCCGACAGCGGCAAGUGACUUUUUUUCUUAUUGACAACUUGUUCCUGCACAUACAUCCUGGGUAAAGCAACCGUAUAUGAUGCUGACUUUGAGAGGCUGAUCUGAAUUAGGUUACAUAUGGAGGGAAUUAACAAUGGAUCAGCGGGCCACCAUGGUGGUGGUGGGCCGCGAUGUUUUAAGAUCAAACGGCGGGCUUAGUUUGCACAAUCCUCGCCAAUGACCAUUUCAGAGCCUGGGCAUAAGUAAACUUCUGCUUGCAGGAAUCCUGUUAGAUGCAAACAACCUUUCCAAGAUGUGCUCACAAAAAGUUUCAGAGGCAGUGCGAUUGCUCUUGUUCGGUAGCUCUGAGCAUAAGAGGCACGAAUUAUUUCAACAAUGUGAUGCUUACUUACGAUGAUCAUUCUUUCAUCGAGUUCUUGAAGAACACCUACAGAAAGUCAUCCACGGAUGGUAAGUUUUCUCUAUAAUAUCUUCACAUGGUUCCCCGCCUAUUUUUUGGAAAUUCUUUGCUUAAGUUACUGUAUAUUUAUCCGUGUCUAAGAUAAAUUUGCAAUAUGCCCAUUAAAUUAAAACAUCAUUGAUGAAUUAUUGUAGUUCAAAUUAACUAGGUGAUGGGUACAGUACUCCAGAGCAAAAGCAUUCAGUUUCAGGGACAUCACAAGAUGCUAAAAAAGUCCAAUUAAAGUAAUUUGGUCAUAAGACAUGUAAUAAUUGACUUCUACAAAAUGAACUAGACGGUUAAAGUUUCUGAAAAUAAUGCAGAGGUAACUUAGAUGGUUAAAGUUUCUAAAAAAUGAACUAGAUGGUUAAAGUUUCUAAAAAAUGAACUAGAUAGGUAAGGUUUUUUUGGAUUGCUUGAGGUAGGACUUCCAGGAGCAAAGGAGCAACACUUGAAGAAGAUGGGGACCAAAAAUAUAGUUGCAAUAUUCAGAUAUAUUAAGCGAGAACUUGGUAGAUCAAGAUAAGUACAACAAGGAGAUCACCCUUGCCUCUUAUGCAGUCCGACAGGUUUGGAAAGAAGUAACUGGAGAUCUUUUUAGGCCAAAGAGAUGGAUCUGGAAGUUUUUUUUUGUGUGGAUGGAAGAGUUGGUUUCUGAAGUUAUUAGAAUUUUAACCUCCCUUUGGAGGCAUUUGACACUUAGCCUUUGCUCCUUUACAACCGAGCUGACUUCUUGACAACCUUGAAAUUUCUCUCUACUUUUUCAUCUUGUUAUGUUGCCUCUUGGGUAAGAUUCAACCUGUUUCCUGUAGGAAAAAUAAGAUUGAAAAAGUAUAUUAUUAGCCUGCAUCAAUUGAUUGUGCACAAUGAUGGCCCCUUGUAUGGAAGAACAAGUGAGAUGAUUGCACAUUAUUAUUCUUGAGAUGAUUGCAAUAAGAAAUCAUAAGAAGAGCGAUGCUUCACGUACGACAAAUCGCAUACGAUUUUUGUCAAUGCGGAAAUAGGAAUAACUUUAGUCGUGCGUGAAUUAAUUUAGUUUGAGUAACAAUGAUGGGAAGAACCUCACAUGGUUUUAUCAUUGAUGGUAGGCACCCAACAUGGUUUCCAUCUUUGAUUCAUUAUGGAUUCAUGGUCAACGCUUCCAAUCGGUGGUGAGAGAUGUUGUCGUUAGAUGUCUAACACUUCAUUAUCCAUGUUUGGGUGCUUAGAUGUUUGAUGUUUGAUGUUGUCGGUUCCCUAGGACAUGUUCUCUUUUUCUGUUAUGUUUGGAUGCUUUGUAUCACUACUUGGUGGCAACAAAAUUCUAAGGACUUUAUCGCAAAAAAGCUUCUGGACUGGAUGAAGAAUAUCAAUGGAACGUGUGGGGCGGCUCAAAAAAAAGUGUGGUGUUGCAAGAGUUACAUGAGGAUUUGACAUUUGUUUGGAUGCAGUCUUAAACUGGAUGACCAUUUGUAUUUCCAUUUGUCGUAGAAUAACAAGUAAUAGAUUAUUGCCUUUAUUUAUAGAUUGUCUUGCUCCGUGGCAACGCAUGGGCAAUCAACUAGUCGUUGUUAGAUGGCCUUAAGCCAUAUUUAUUGUAAUAAGUUCUUUAUUGAGACACUCGAUGUAAUAAGUGUG